rnacentral:rRNA from 1 species
GAGGGGCAUCGGGAGGGAAGCUUGCUUUCCUUGCCGGCGACCGGCGCACGGGUGAGUAACACGUAUGCAACCUGCCCUCUUCAGGGGGACAACCUUCCGAAAGGGAGGCUAAUCCCGCGUAUAUCGGUUUCGGGCAUCCGUUAUCGAGGAUAGAUUCAUCGGAAGAGGAUGGGCAUGCGGCGCAUUAGCUUGACGGCGGGGUAACGGCCCACCGUGGCGACGAUGCAUAGGGGUUCUGAGAGGAAGGUCCCCCACACUGGUACUGAGACACGGACCAAACUCCUACGGGAGGCAGCAGUGAGGAAUAUUGGUCAAUGGGAGAGAUCCUGAACCAGCCAAGCCGCGUGAGGGAAGACGGCCCUAUGGGUUGUAAACCUCUUUUGUCGGAGAACAAAACCCGGGACGAGUCCCGGACUGCGUGUAUCCGAAGAAAAAGCAUCGGCUAACUCCGUGCCAGCAGCCGCGGUAAUACGGAGGAUGCGAGCGUUAUCCGGAUUUAUUGGGUUUAAAGGGUGCGUUGGCGGUCCGUUAAGUCAGCGGUAAAAUUGCGGGGCUCAACCCCGUCGAGCCGUUCAAACUAGCAGACUUGAGUUGGCGAGAAGUACGCGGAAUGCGCGGUGUAGCGGUGAAAUGCAUAGAUAUCUUUAAAAAAUCCGAUUGCGAAGGCAGCGUACCGGCGCCAGACUGAC